rnacentral:rRNA from 1 species
AAUAGAUACCCGGGUAGUCCAUGCCGUAAACGUUGGGCGCUAGGUGUGGGACUCAUUCCACGAGCUCCGUGCCGCAGCUAACGCAUUAAGCGCCCCGCCUGGGGAGUACGGCCGCAAGGCUAAAACUCAAAGGAAUUGACGGGGGGCCCGCACAAGCGGCGGAGCAUGCGGAUUAAUUCGAUGCAACGCGAAGAACCUUACCAAGGCUUGACAUAUACCGGAAACAUCCAGAGAUGGGUGCCCCGCAAGGUCGGUAUACAGGUGGUGCAUGGUUGUCGUCAGCUCGUGUCGUGAGAUGUUGGGUUAAGUCCCGCAACGAGCGCAACCCUCGUUCUAUGUUGCCAGCGCGUAAUGGCGGGGACUCAUAGAAGACUGCCGGGGUCAACUCGGAGGAAGGUGGGGAUGACGUCAAAUCAUCAUGCCCCUUAUGUCUUGGGCUUCACGCAUGCUACAAUGGCCGGUACAAAGGGCUGCGAUACCGCGAGGUGGAGCGAAUCCCAAAAAACCGGUCUCAGUUCGGAUUGGGGUCUGCAACUCCG